GGGUGACUGCGUACCUUUUGUAUAAUGGGUCAGCGACUUAUAUUCUGUAGCAAGGUUAACCGUAUAGGGGAGCCGCAGGGAAACCGAGUCUUAACUGGGCGUUAAGUUGCAGGGUAUAGACCCGAAACCCGGUGAUCUAGCCAUGGGCAGGUUGAAGGUUGGGUAACACUAACUGGAGGACCGAACCGACUAAUGUUGAAAAAUUAGCGGAUGACUUGUGGCUGGGGGUGAAAGGCCAAUCAAACCGGGAGAUAGCUGGUUCUCCCCGAAAGCUAUUUAGGUAGCGCCUCGUGAACUCAUCUUCGGGGGUAGAGCACUGUUUCGGCUAGGGGGUCAUCCCGACUUACCAACCCGAUGCAAACUACGAAUACCGAAGAAUGUUAUCACGGGAGACACACGGCGGGUGCUAACGUCCGUCGUGAAGAGGGAAACAACCCAGACCGCCAGCUAAGGUCCCAAAGUCAUGGUUAAGUGGGAAACGAUGUGGGAAGGCCCAGACAGCCAGGAUGUUGGCUUAGAAGCAGCCAUCAUUUAAAGAAAGCGUAAUAGCUCACUGGUCGAGUCGGCCUGCGCGGAAGAUGUAACGGGGCUAAACCAUGCACCGAAGCUGCGGCAGCGACACUAUGUGUUGUUGGGUAGGGGAGCGUUCUGUAAGCCGUUGAAGGUGGCCUGUGAGGGUUGCUGGAGGUAUCAGAAGUGCGAAUGCUGACAUAAGUAACGAUAAUGCGGGUGAAAAACCCGCACGCCGGAAGACCAAGGGUUCCUGUCCAACGUUAAUCGGGGCAGGGUGAGUCGACCCCUAAGGCGAGGCCGAAAGGCGUAGUCGAUGGGAAACAGGUUAAUAUUCCUGUACUUGGUGUUACUGCGAAGGGGGGACGGAGAAGGCUAUGUUGGCCGGGCGACGGUUGUCCCGGUUUAAGCAUGUAGGCGGAUGUUCCAGGUAAAUCCGGAACGUCACUAACGCUGAGGUGUGAUGACGAGGCACUACGGUGCUGAAGUGACAAAUGCCCUGCUUCCAGGAAAAGCCUCUAAGCAUCAGGUAACAUCAAAUCGUACCCCAAACCGACACAGGUGGUCAGGUAGAGAAUACCAAGGCGCUUGAGAGAACUCGGGUGAAGGAACUAGGCAAAAUGGUGCCGUAACUUCGGGAGAAGGCACGCUGAUGGUAAGUGAAGUGACUUGCUCACGGAGCUGAAAUCAGUCGAAGAUACCAGCUGGCUGCAACUGUUUAUUAAAAACACAGCACUGUGCAAACACGAAAGUGGACGUAUACGGUGUGACGCCUGCCCGGUGCCGGAAGGUUAAUUGAUGGGGUUAUCCUCACGGAGAAGCUCUUGAUCGAAGCCCCGGUAAACGGCGGCCGUAACUAUAACGGUCCUAAGGUAGCGAAAUUCCUUGUCGGGUAAGUUCCGACCUGCACGAAUGGCGUAAUGAUGGCCAGGCUGUCUCCACCCGAGACUCAGUGAAAUUGAACUCGCUGUGAAGAUGCAGUGUACCCGCGGCAAGACGGAAAGACCCCGUGAACCUUUACUAUAGCUUGACACUGAACACUGGUCCUUGAUGUGUAGGAUAGGUGGGAGGCUUUGAAGUGUGGACGCCAGUCUGCAUGGAGCCAUCCUUGAAAUACCACCCUUUAAUGGCUGGUGUUCUAACGUGGGCCCGUAAUCCGGGUUGCGGACAGUGUCUGGUGGGUAGUUUGACUGGGGCGGUCUCCUCCUAAAGAGUAACGGAGGAGCACGAAGGUCAGCUAAUCCUGGUCGGACAUCAGGAGGUUAGUGCAAUGGCAUAAGCUGGCUUGACUGCGAGCGUGACGGCGCGAGCAGGUGCGAAAGCAGGUCAUAGUGAUCCGGUGGUUCUGAAUGGAAGGGCCAUCGCUCAACGGAUAAAAGGUACUCCGGGGAUAACAGGCUGAUACCGCCCAAGAGUUCAUAUCGACGGCGGUGUUUGGCACCUCGAUGUCGGCUCAUCACAUCCUGGGGCUGAAGUAGGUCCCAAGGGUAUGGCUGUUCGCCAUUUAAAGUGGUACGCGAGCUGGGUUUAGAACGUCGUGAGACAGUUCGGUCCCUAUCUGCCGUGGGCGCUGGAGAAUUGAGGGGGGCUGCUCCUAGUACGAGAGGACCGGAGUGGACGCAUCACUGGUGUUCGGGUUGUCAUGCCAAUGGCAUUGCCCGGUAGCUAAAUGCGGAAGAGAUAAGUGCUGAAAGCAUCUAAGCACGAAACUUGCCCCGAGAUGAGUUCUCCCUGACUCCUUGAGAGUCCUGAAGGAACGUUGAAGACGACGACGUUGAUAGGCCGGGUGUGUAAGCGCAGCGAUGCGUUGAGCUAACCGGUACUAAUGAACCGUGAGGCUUAACCUU
rnacentral:rRNA from 1 species